rnacentral:tRNA from 1 species
GGAUUUAGCUCAGUGGUAGAGCACUUGCCUAGCAAGCACAAGGCCCUGGGUUCAGUUCCCAGCUCCA